rnacentral:rRNA from 1 species
AACGAACGCUGGCGGCGUGCCUAAGACAUGCAAGUCGUACGGAAAGGCCCCCUUCGGGGGGCACUCGAGUGGCGCACGGGUGAGUAACGCGUGGGUAAUCUGCCUUAGGGUCUAGGACAACCCCGGGAAACUGGGGCUAAUACUGGAUAAGACCACGAGCUCCUCGGAGCUUGCGGGAAAAGAUGGCCUCUCCUUGGAAGCUAUCGCCCUUCGAUGAGCCAGCGUCCCAUUAGCUAGUUGGUGAGGUGACGGCUCACCAAGGCUUUGAUGGGUAGCUGGUCUGAGAGGAUGAUCAGCCACACUGGAACUGAGACACGGUCCAGACUCCUACGGGAGGCAGCAGUCGGGAAUUUUGGGCAAUGGGCGAAAGCCUGACCCAGCAACGCCGCGUGAGGGAUGAAGGCCCUCGGGUCGUAAACCUCUGUCGGGAGGGAAGAACGGUUCACGUUCGAACAGGACGGGAGCCUGACGGUACCUCCAAAGGAAGCACCGGCUAACUCCGUGCCAGCCGCCGCAGUAA